CGAGCGAGGCAGUUGCAUCCAACCCUCUGUUAAAAAAAAGAUACAUCCAACCCGCCACAUAAAAUCUAAUUGUCGCCGUCUUCGAUUCCAAAUUCGAAACUUCUUUGAAAUCUCAAAUCUUUGUCUUUCUCACUUCUCUAACUCUUAAUCGCUCUCAUCCCUUCUUUGUUCUUGCGGUGCCCAUCUCUGUGCACCCACAAACAAUACCCACUUAGGCUUCCCUAAUCUUCACAGUUUCUGAAAAUGGAGGCAAAAAAGCAGCCGCUGAUUAUUACAGACAAAGACCGGAUGAGGAAUUGGUCUAGGUCAGUGAGAUCCCAGGGCAAGACCAUAGCCCUUGUACCCACUAUGGGUUACCUCCACCAAGGUCACAUAUCACUCGUCAAAGAAGCUCACAAACACGCCAAUUUAAUAGUAGUGUCAAUCUAUGUGAAUCCAGGUCAGUUCUCUCCCUCUGAGGAUCUCUCCACAUACCCAUCUGACUUUCAUGGUGAUAUCCUCAAGCUCAUGUCCAUUCCUGGUGGUGUAGAUGUUGUUUUCCAUCCCCAUAAUCUCUAUGACUAUAGAACUGAUAAUAAAAACAAGAAUGACAUUGUUAAUUGUACUGAUAGUAGGGAUGAUUGCAAGAAUUUAAAGGUUGAAGGGGUGGUGUCGUGUGUGGAAGAGAAGGGGACGGGACAUGAGACAUGGGUGAGAGUGGAGAGACUUGAGAAGGGUUUGUGUGGGAACAGUAGGCCGGUGUUCUUUAGAGGGGUUGCUACUAUUGUCACCAAGUUGUUUAAUAUAGUGGAGCCUGACUUUGCUGUGUUUGGGAAGAAGGAUUACCAGCAGUGGAGAAUUAUUCAGCGAAUGGUGAGAAUUAAUUGAACCUUUUUCUUCUUGACCAAUUGAUUAUGUUUUGGAUAGAAUGAAAAUGGGGGAAUGCUUCCAGUGUCUGAAAAAGGAGGAAUUUUUUUUUUUAGAUGUUUGUUCAAAUGUUUUCAGAUGUCCAUGGAGGCAACAGGAUUCUAAUCUUGAAUGUUUUGGAUUAAAAUCAGACAAAGUUUGCAAUUUUUUCAAAUUUAUUAGCUUUAUGUGCUGUUUGUUCUGCAAGCUAAGUGGAUGGCUUGUUUCAUAUGUGUAGAAACUUAUUUAAAGUUUUUAUGUGAUAAGUAUUUAACCAUUCAAAUUGAAUUCACAAAUUCUAGCGACAUGGUUCAGUUUUCAAGUUAAACCUAGUGAUGGUGCAGUUUUCAGCUUUAAAGAUUGAAGCCUUUGGUUUGAUCUCAAAAUGAUUUUGAACCUUUGGUUUGUCAUCUUGCUAAGUUCACUCGUAGUAUUUGUUUACUCAUUGGUUGAAUUCUGCAGGUUCGAGAUCUUGAUUUUUCCAUAAGAAUAAUAGGUUCUGAAGUAAUGCGCGACAGUGAUGGUCUUGCAAUGAGUUCCCGCAAUGUGCACCUUUCUCCUGAAGAGAGGGAAAAGGCCUUGUCUAUGAACAGGUCAUUGUUGAAAGCUAAAUCAUGUGCAGAAAAAGGCCAAAUAAAUUGUAUAGAGCUAAGAGACUUGGUCAUCCAAGCAAUAAAUGAAGCUGGAGGGAAAAUUGAUUAUGCUGAGAUUGUAGACCAGGAAACCUUGGAGGCUGCAGAAGAGAUUAGGAGUCCUGUUGUAUUCUGUGUUGCUGCCUGGUUUGGGAAGGUCAGACUUAUAGAUAAUGUUGAAAUCAACAUAUGAAUGAUUCUUUAUGAUGCAAACUCAAGCCAAGCAGCAUGGAAUUUCUGUUUCCCUUUAAUUGUCCAGUAGUGACUCAAGAAACUAUUACUGGCAGAGUGAGGGCACAUGCUAGAUCUAGUAAAAGAAAAUAGGAGUAAAUUCUUUCUUCUUGGUUGUAUUGAACAUUCAGAUUUAACUCAUGCAACCUGAUGAGCGUGAGCUUAAGAAUUUCCAAUUUUCAUGAUCCUGCCUUUAAGAUCAACUUGUGUUAGAUGAGAUUUAUGUCAACUUGCCAUU
rnacentral:misc_RNA from 1 species